rnacentral:lncRNA from 1 species
AAUCAAUAUCUACUUCACCACCCAUUAACAACUUGGAAAACGGUUUUCUUGGGUAAGACUUAAAUGAAGCAAAGUGCAACAUGGUUUCUAAAGGCCUACAAUUUUUAGUGGGAAUCUGCACAAUUAAACUGCAGUGCCUCAUGUUGUAAACUUCAUCUCUGGCUAUGCAAAACCUCUGAGAAGCACUUCCUUGUGUCAAUCUAAAUGCAGUUUCAUUGAUAUUAUUCAGAAAGUCUUCUUUCUGCCUACAUAUCUCACAAUUUCACUAGUUUCCUGCCCUCAAUUUCAUUCAAAACUUCCUUUUGUUUCUUCAUUUCCAGUCAUUACCUCAUGAAUUCUACUAAAUGGCUACAACUUCUAAUGGAUAUUAUCCAUUCCCUCAGUUUUACAUAACAGAAAGUGCACAGAUUCCAGAAAGAAUGAAGUUUCCUGUCUUUCUCCUUCCAAAACUCUCCAAUCUCAUAAUAAAAAUAUUGAAAAUAAUGUCUGAGUUUGGCUAUGAACAAGAUGUUUUCAGUAUCAAAAUACAAUGAUUGAAUACAGAUACGUGAUUAAGUAUUAACAGGAAAACAGUUUACUGUCGCUUACCUGUAUUACCCUUAACAAACUCUUAUUCAGGCAACCUUGAGGAAGAUGAAUUGGUGGAAGAGGAAGAAGGGCAUGCAAAGAGGUACAUAAUAAAUUCCAUGAAACAUAAACAAGAAAGUGAAAACCUGGGCCUAAAUAGAUAUGAGGAAAAUCUAUGGGCAGCAUUUCCCUCAAGCACAAAAGUAAGUGUACAGGGAUGAUUCAAUUGGAAGAGUUUGUUAAGGGUAAUACAGAAGGAGUCACCUAAAUGGAAAGAAGAACAGGAGAAGGAAGAUACUAGAAGGAAGCUGCAAACGACAGUUUUGGGGGAUGUGAAACAUUCUGUUUCUAGUAAUAAACAUCAAGUCCGUAAAGUUUCAGAAGACACAGCUUAUGCGAGAAAAGCCCAACCCACAGUAGGAGCAGAGAAAAAGGAAGAGUCUGAUUCUCCCUGGGAUUCUGAGCCGUGUUCUGAAGGUCCGAGGAAAGCAUCUCCUCCUGUGUUUCUCCCACCUGCAGUUGAACAUGGAGUACGCUUGCAGAGUGUUUCAGGGGAGCACAACAAGGGUGCUCUGCCAGCAGUAGGAACAGAGAAAAAGGAAGAGUCUGAUUCUCCCUGGGAUUCUGAGCCGUGUUCUGAAGGUUCGAGGAAAGCAUCUCCUCCUGUGUUUCUCCCACCUGCAGUUGAACAUGGAGUACGCUUGCAGAGUGUUUCAGGGGAGCACAACAAGGGUAAUAUCUCAUAGAUUGGAUUUGUCUGUGUUUAUAGACAAGUGAACUUUUUCUUUUGUUUUCCUUGUUAGUCCUGUUGUUCAGUGAGUAUGUGCUGUAGCAAUGAAGUGCUUGGCUGAUGUUAAUUAACAGCAGUGAACACUGAACUUGCUGGCCUGCUUGAUUAGUCCAGGCGGUUCUUGCGUUCAUUAUGUAUACUUUUUGGAUAUGUGUUUGUUCGGGUGUUUUUCUUUGCUUUAAGUGGUUGCUUAAAGUGGUGGGAGUGGUAUCUGGUUUAAGAUUUAGCUGUGAACCCUAGCCUGCUGUGGUAGAGAAGGUCUGCAGCUUUUGUUGCUUUUCGUUCUUUCCUAAAGGUCACAAAUGGUGGUGCUGGGUUCCUAAUGAUUAUGUAUGAUGCAAGUUUCUUUAUUAAUUUUGUUGCUGUGUUCUCCUUGAUCUGCACAAAACAAGUAGGUAGUCUAGUGUGCCUUGUGUGUGACACUAUUGAUUCCCUUUCUAAUGGGUACUAUCAGAUUGAAAAGCUGUGGUUUUUCAGGGCUUCAGCCAAGAGCUGACCUGAUUCAAAGUCAGAGAAGACUCUUCCAGUGCCUCACCUUGUUCAGUUGUAAAAUGUAGGAGAUCUCUCCUGUGCUACUCGUUUGUAUGCUUGAGAGCAUGACCUCAGAGAGAGGUGGGUGCUUAGGUACUCACCCCAGGGUCUCAGAGCAGAAGAUAGUAUGUCCGUCUCCAGAGGAUAUCUUGUUGCUGUAGAUGUUUUCAGAGCUCGUGUAGCUAUUGGUCAGUUGCUGCUCAGAAGGUGUGGAAGCAGCACUCACGGUGCAUUCACUUUUCUCUUAGUGCAUUUUAUGUGCAAAGAGUUUAUUUUGGAAAAGCAUGAAUAGUCAGCACUCAGGCUGGAAUCAGCAGUUAUGGUUUUCCAGAGUGGACGCCAUUGCUCCUGUCUGGCUCAUUCCUGUAAAUUUUCCUUGCGUUUCUGUGUGAGUCAAUCCUGAGUUUGUUUUACAUAAUGGAGUA